GCGCUAGGUGGGUUCGGACUUGACUUGGAGCUGGGGCUGGGGCUUAAUAAUUUGGGUCCUUAAAGCAGCUGCUGCUUGCAAGGUCCAGGUUCCAGGUUCUGCUAGUCCUCCCGGGGAAAAAGGACGAAAUCCGAAAUUAAAAUUACGCCAACGACUUUAAUGGAAUAUGUGCGUGGAAUUUGAAAUGCCAAAUUGAAUCGCCUGCCAAGCUAGUGGAUCUGCAACUGGAUUGGGAUUGGGAUUUGGACCAAGCCUGCAUUAGCAUGCAGUCCUGCCACCGGACAUCCUUCCUCCUACUCGACCUUCCAAAAUUGUGUUUGACAAACAAGGAUUGAAAGCGUUCCAGUUUAACAUGAAUUUCCACAAUACUUUCAAUUUAAAAUUAAAACGGCCCCUUUGAAAUGGAUUUUUAAAUAUCACAUGCAGUAAGUAAAGGGAGGCAAAGUAGUUGAAUUUCGUAGACCAAAUUUGCACAGCUCUAAUUUAAAAUACAAGAAGAGUUAACGUUCUUACUGCGAACAUGGCACACUUAAAAAAAUCAACCGAUGACUGCAUUUUGAUCGGAACAGAUACAAAUACAGCAACAUUUUUUAUUACUUCAUUUACUUAUGAA